rnacentral:rRNA from 1 species
GGGUCAGUAGGUUGGUCGUGCCACCGGUACGUACUGGUCUCACUGAUUCCUCCUUCCUGAAGAACCGUAAUGCCAUCAAUUUGGUGUUGCGGGGAAACAGGACUGUUACUUUGAAAAAAUUAGAGUGUUUAAAGCAAGCUAACGCUUGAAUACAUUAGCAUGUAAUAAUGAAAUAGGACGAUCGAUCCUAUUUUGUUGGUUUCUAGGAUUGACGUA